CUGAGGCAGUGUGAUGGACUGUACUUCAUGUGGUGCUUCACGUGCUGCAGCACAGAAUGAAGUAACCCUCCCUGUCAGUUCUCUCUGGACCGUCUCACUGCAUUUACCUCGAGUCUCAGCACAGCGACAGAACCCAGCAGAACUCACAACAAGCCAGUGACAGACAUUGAAAGCCUUUUCCUGACGAUGCUGGACAUGGAUCACACAUUGAUGGUGGUCUUGAUGCUGCUCUGGAGCUCAGGUCUCUGUGCGCAAGAAAGCCACAACCACAAUGAACUUGUCAGGUUGGUGGGAGGAUCCAGUCGUUGUACUGGAGCACUGGAGAUGAAACAUAGGG